AGGUUAGUUAGGUACAGAAUAAGCUAUCAAUAGUUAUCAAGAUAACAAACUCGGUUAAACAGCGUAAUACACGCUGUUUUCUAAAUAUAUUAAACGUGAGACACAAGAGUAAAGCCAUUUCUACGAAAAAUAUUUUAUAUUAUUUUAUUGAUAUCUCUCGGAUUUACAUUUUCAGUGGGAUAAUAAUUUCACGUUUGUGGAGUAUUUCAAUUAAGAAUUGUGAAUAAUUAUAAGUCAGAGGGGGUGUCAAAUGGACAAAAAGGGUCCAGUCCGGCCCGUGGAUAGCUUUGUGGAAAAUGUGGAACUUUCAGAGGAGGAGGCCAUUUAUGGUGAACCUUAAACGGUAUUUUAAAUUUUUGGUUUUAGUGUUUUUACUGAAGAAGAGAUAACUUAUGACCUGUCAUACACCAGAGUUGAGCAGCUUGACGCCUGAUGUCAGACCGGUGACUGAUGAUCCUGCUGAGGCAAUAUAUCAACACAUUACAGGUAGAGACGCCUUACCAGCAGCAUGGAAUGAUGGGAAAUGGUGCAGUGCCGCUGUGUGUCGGUCGGUGACAUUGAGCGCUGUAGGUAAAAAGAAACUGUGUGGGAAUGCAAUCUUAAACAGCAAAAUGGCACCAUUGUUACUGUUCUAUGGGAUUUUCAAGUAGGAUAUUUACAGCAGCCUUAAACACAAAUAAAAAAAAACAAACCUGGUCUCAGGUAUCAAAUGGUAGUUGCAAUUAUUUUAUCAUUCCUGCACAUUUUAUUUUCUAAUUUCCCAGAAUGUCUUUAAUAUUUGACAAAACCCCAAAUAUGAUUGAAUGAGAAAUUAUUUUGGACACAUUUGUGUUACUAAGGAAUGAUGUUGAGCUUUGUAAAUUGGUGAUUAAAAGUUUUUUAACUUUAAUAUGUAUUUUGGACAUUAGAAGGUGUCAUUCAACUGCUAACGCCUAACAGGUAAGUUUAUUAACUUGCAUCUGAAGCUAAAAUUAGGCUGCAUUGAUGUCAGGGUGUGUGCUUUAGCUUUUUGUCUCCUAAACAUCUUUAAAGGUGUGAAAUGAAACUAAAAAAUAUGACACGUGCUGCAGGUGAGUUAUAUGUUUAUUCAGCUUGUUGCCGGCUGUUACAGGUACACCAGUUACAGGUGCAGACUUUGUAUUACUUUCACAGAUGUAAAGCACCACAUAGAUCUACGAUCAGCAGACAAACAACAAGGAGCUCCUGCAGUUAUCUUUCGGCUUCACUGGUUAGCUGGGAAUGAACUUACAGGACAAAAAAAAUCUAGUGUAGUUAGACUCAAAGACACAGUACGUGAUCAUAAGGUGGAACCAGUAACAAUUAGUCUUCUGCAGCAUUUAAAUGUCCAGAUUGGUUUUUGCUGAAAAGUAGGAAGGCCCAAAUUCACUCUGAUUUGUUGCUUACAGCUUUUGUGUAGACGUCAAUGCAGAGGAAGACAAACUAAAAAGGACACAAAUGAGUCGAUAACAUAAUGAAAAGAAAUUUUUAAGGUUACUGGUUCACUGACUACUAAUACAACUACUACUACUACAAAA